UGAAUCCCUUCCACUGAGUGUAACCACUUGGAAUGUGCUGAUUUAUGGUAUUGCAGCAGAAGUUAUGAACACUGCAACUAUCUAACCGGAAUCGGAGAGUAAACUGAUUUACCCAAAAUAUAAUUUAACCAAGACCCUGGAAUUAACAACUCUAUGCUUUUUAGAAGUGCCACAAGAGCCUUGAUUACUAUGGAUGGUUACAUUCAAACAUGAAGUUUGGGGACAAAAGACUACACACAUACCUAUUUGCAGAGGUGGACAAGAAUCGGAUGCAGUGGGUUUGGUCUUAGCCUGUUACCAUCCGUAUCUUCUGAAAUUGGCCUCAACGUUGCCUACAGGUCUCCUUCUACUCUGCCUAGUGAGAAAUGAAAAAUCUUCUGCUAUACACCGUGUUACUACACUUAGUAUUCUGAGCAAGCUUCCUCUAUAACUUCUAGAGUACAACAUUCUUGUUCUGCUGUGUCAUUUUUGUUGUAAAGAGCUUAGGCCUGCAUCUUUAAGUGUUUUCUCUAGAUUUAUUUCAACUCAAAGAACAUGACUGUUGUUUUUCCCGGUAUCGAUUUUGGCAGCUUCAAUUAAACAUGCUUUCUUCAUGUAAGAAUCCCCUCAAGGAAAUUCUGUCAAGUAGUAAAUUGUUCCUUUCCAACUGUCACUAAUGAGAAUACUAGCUCCUC